rfam:Ailuropoda melanoleuca scaffold535_85, whole genome shotgun sequence.
ACCUGGCUGGCUCAGUCGGUAGAACAUGUGACUCUUGAUCUCAGGGUUGUGAGUUCAAGCCCCUUGUUGGGUG